rnacentral:rRNA from 1 species
GAGGAAUAUUGCACAAUGGGCGCAAGCCUGAUGCAGCGACGCCGCGUGUGGGAUGAAGGGGCUACGCCUCGUAAACCACUGUAGCCCGGGACGAAAAACGCCUUAGAGGCGUUAUACGGUACCGGGCAAGUAAGGGUCGGCUAACUACGUGCCAGCAGCCGCGGUAAUACGUAGGAGGCGAGCGUUAUCCGGAUUUACUGGGCGUAAAGCGCGUGCAGGCGGGUUGGAGAGUUGGAUGUGAAAGCUCCCGGCUUAACUGGGAGAGGUCGUGCAAUACUGCCAGUCUUGAGUGCAGUAGAGGGAAGUGGAAUUCCGGGUGUAGUGGUGAAAUGCGUAGAUAUCCGGAGGAACACCAGUGGCGAAAGCGGCUUCCUGGACUGUAACUGACGCUCAGACGCGA